rnacentral:lncRNA from 1 species
AACUGCUUAAUGAAAUAACAGCAACUCGGGACCCCGGAAUAACAACUGUUACAGUGCUUAAAGGAGGAUCUGCGUUUGCCUGGGCUGACGUUCCGAGGGCCGGCAACUUGAAGAGGAGCGGAGCAGCUCAGCCCAUCUGGUUGAUUUCGGCGAUGCUGCUUUAAGGAAGCGUCCUGGGCCUGUGCGCGCACCCUCGCUCCGGCAGACGCAGACACCCUGGAGCCGUAGGGAAACAGGCCAGCAGRCCCACAAGUGGGCUUUGGGCACGGCGGUGCGCAGAGAGCUCUGCGUGCUCGGCAGGCGAGUGGGGUUGGAGCGUGGCGAGAGCUGUUCCGGGCUGUCUGGAUCCAUCCAGUUCUGCUCC